rnacentral:lncRNA from 1 species
AGUGCUGCCAGUACAUGAAUGGCUAAAAAAGGACACUAAACUCAUGUAUUUCUUCUUCCCCCAACUACAAGCUCGUAUUGCCCAAGGUUCACAGAGACUCCUUUAUUAAAAAGCAGCAUCUGAAGACAAAUAGAAGCUCCUAUUUCACGUAUUGCUUUCUACUGAAAAGAUUUUGGAAAUGUCAGAGGGAAUUUCCUAUUUCUACAAUGACUGUCAUUCAAUUUCAUGGGGAAGAACACAGAGAUGGAGAGGAUAGAAAUGCCAGCUGUGCUGUCAUAAGGAUAUUCAGGACUGACUAGGAAGAGGUUCACAAGUCAAGGAACUGAUAUCUCUACCCAACAGCCAAAGGGGAACAAGUUCUGCCAACAGCAGUCUGAGUGAGACGGGAAGCAGAGUUGUAGCAUUUGUUGAGCCCCAGUUGAGCAUUCAUUUGACUGAAGUCCUGGCCAACAGCUUUACUGCAAUCUCAUGAGAAAUCUUGAGCCAGAACCACCCAGCUAAGCUGCUCUCAGAAAUCUGGUGGCAAAUAUUUUACUGAUUUAUCUGAGAAAUUCCAUACCUAUAGAUAAUUGGUCUAUUUGUAUUCUAUACAAAACCUAAAAUAUUCCCUACUGGCAAGGAAAUUUUUGAGACUUUCAAUGUGGUCUUUAGCAUAGAUUAGAAACGAUGUCAUAUGAAAU